rnacentral:rRNA from 1 species
UACGGAGGGUGCAAGCGUUAUCCGGAUUCACUGGGUUUAAAGGGUGCGUAGGUGGGUUUGUAAGUCAGUGGUGAAAUCUCCGAGCUUAACUUGGAAACUGCCAUUGAUACUAUAGAUCUUGAAUUUUCUGGAGGUAAGCGGAAUAUGUCAUGUAGCGGUGAAAUGCUUAGAUAUGACAUAGAACACCAAUUGCGAAGGCAGCUUGCUACAGGAAUAUUGACACUGAGGCACGAAAGCGUGGGGAUCAAACAGG